AGUAAAUAAAUGAACUAGAAGAAUGACUCGAAGACUCUAAAUGUACUUUUUCACAGUUGGAGAAUAUUACCGACACCUUUCCAUUUAAUCAAUGGACCAGGCUAUUGGCUUGGGAAGUGCCAGGAAAGUGGUCCCUUCCUUUCAGUAAAAGUAUUGCUAUUCAAGUAAACUCAUGCGUGAAAGGUCAACGGGAUGCACAUGUAAGGCCUCUUGUACGACUGAUUGUUAGUGAGUGGGUGGGCUCGUUUGGUCGCCAGGACUAAGGGUGAAUAGCAACGCCACAUGUCGUCGCCUCGAUGACUCUUCAAUCAUCACAUUAUAAUUACGGCACUCACAUGCACGAGCUACACAAAUUCCUGUUCCCUCUAGUCCCAAAGUACUUUUGACACCAACUCGAAGAAUCGACCGGUUAGAAACCUCUCAGGGAACCGUAGAAAGCACUCCAGUUGUCCACGACCUAAACAUCCCAACACGUGGACAACCCCAUAGACAAAAGGGCCUUGUCUUUGGGUCAGACCUCUCACCCUGGACGAACCAAAUACGAGGGACACUCUCGAGCAAACCACAUCGGAUUAUCAAUCUGCCUAAAAUUAUAUCGAGUCCUCGACUAGAAAAUUAUUGCCAACGACGUUGAAUUUCGCCGAAGAGAUUGAGAUUUCGAUGUUGGGGGGCUGCGAACGAGGUGGACAUUACGCUCUUCUCGUCCACCUAGAAGGCAGGCCGAUUGAUAUCUAGAGGUAGCUCGUGCCACAUGAGCCUCUUGGAAGCACGGCCGCCUAAUUAACUCCGUGACUGGAUGACCCCUGGCAGAUCCGAGUUCUCUGGCAUGCAUUGCUCUUGCCUGGAUGGCGCCUACGCGAGCGCCUUCGCCAACCGCUGUACACCCACGCCCGCCGGGGUACACCAAAGUCGAGCACUGCAGGAGAACGAGAGGGAGAGGCAGAGUCAGGGUUGGCCUGUGGAUAAAGUCAUCAUCGUGCCACUGCCCCCCUCGCAGUGUCUGGAGAGGUCAACCGGAGAAAGGGUUGUACGUCUGCGCCAAACUCUGUCGGUCGCUGUAAGCGCUGCGCCGCCCAGACAUUCUCGAGCGCAACGUUGUCAGAGUCGCGUCGAAGUCGACGGACCACGCACACACUGCUGGGGGCUGCCAUGGGAGUCGACAACACCGUUCGUCAGAUUCUUACGGAGGGGAUAAUGGCAGCAGGGACGUUACACUCAUUUCUACGGCCUCAAUCAAAAACAAACUUUAUUUAAAAAUAAUUAAUAUCCGUAAUGAUAAUACGAGGCUUUAGGG